rnacentral:rRNA from 1 species
GAUGAACGCUGGCGGCGUGCCUAAUACAUGCCAGUCGAGCGAACAGACGAGGAGCUUGCUCCUCUGACGUUAGCGGCGGAUGGGUGAGUAACACGUGGAUAACCUACCUAUAAGACUGGGAUAACUUCGGGAAACCGGAGCUAAUACCGGAUAAUAUAUUGAACCGCAUGGUUCAAUAGUGAAAGACGGUUUUGCUGUCACUUAUAGAUGGAUCCGCGCCGCAUUAGCUAGUUGGUAAGGUAACGGCUUACCAAGGCAACGAUGCGUAGCCGACCUGAGAGGGUGAUCGGCCACACUGGAACUGAGACACGGUCCAGACUCCUACGGGAGGCAGCAGUAGGGAAUCUUCCGCAAUGGGCGAAAGCUUGACGGAGCAACGCCGCGUGAGUGAUGAAGGUCUUCGGAUCGUAAAACUCUGUUAUUAGGGAAGAACAAAUGUGUAAGUAACUAUGCACGUCUUGACGGUACCUAAUCAGAAAGCCACGGCUAACUACGUG